rnacentral:rRNA from 1 species
CUCUUCGGAGAUACUCGAGUGGCGAACGGGUGAGUAACACGUGGGUGAUCUGCCCUGCACUUCGGGAUAAGCCUGGGAAACUGGGUCUAAUACCGGAUAGGACCACGGGAUGCAUGUCUUGUGGUGGAAAGCGCUUUAGCGGUGUGGGAUGAGCCCGCGGCCUAUCAGCUUGUUGGUGGGGUGACGGCCUACCAAGGCGACGACGGGUAGCCGGCCUGAGAGGGUGUCCGGCCACACUGGGACUGAGAUACGGCCCAGACUCCUACGGGAGGCAGCAGUGGGGAAUAUUGCACAAUGGGCGCAAGCCUGAUGCAGCGACGCCGCGUGGGGGAUGACGGCCUUCGGGUUGUAAACCUCUUUCACCAUCGACGAAGGUCCGGGUUCUCUCGGAUUGACGGUAGGUGGAGAAGAAGCACCGGCCAACUACGUGCCAGCAGCCGCGGUAAUACGUAGGGUGCGAGCGUUGUCCGGAAUUACUGGGCGUAAAGAGCUCGUAGGUGGUUUGUCGCGUUGUUCGUGAAAUCUCACGGCUUAACUGUGAGCGUGCGGGCGAUACGGGCAGACUAGAGUACUGCAGGGGAGACUGGAAUUCCUGGUGUAGCGGUGGAAUGCGCAGAUAUCAGGAGGAACACCGGUGGCGAAGGCGGGUCUCUGGGCAGUAACUGACGCUGAGGAGCGAAAGCGUGGGGAGCGAACAGGAUUAGAUACCCUGGUAGUCCACGCCGUAAACGGUGGGUACUAGGUGUGGGUUUCCUUCCUUGGGAUCCGUGCCGUAGCUAACGCAUUAAGUACCCCGCCUGGGGAGUACGGCCGCAAGGCUAAAACUCAAAGGAAUUGACGGGGGCCCGCACAAGCGGCGGAGCAUGUGGAUUAAUUCGAUGCAACGCGAAGAACCUUACCUGGGUUUUGACAUGCACAGG